rnacentral:lncRNA from 1 species
GCAUCUUCGAUAAUCUUGGUGCAGUAACCUUUUCUUAUUUUGUGGGUUUUAUGAAUGAUUAGUUACUUAAUGGUAGAGCAGUGUUAUUGUUGACUGAUUUGUGGUUCCAAUCCAUACUUGGACUGGUGUACUUUGAUGCGAAUUUGCAAACUCGGACUUGGUGUAUGGCUUGUGCUAGGCACAGUUUUCUUGCCAUGCUAUUUCUGGCAAUUCGUCAGUGGCAAUGCAAGGGAACUGAAGGGCCAAUUGUAUACAUAUGAGAAUCGUUCGAGCAUCAGUAGCUUUUCUAUUUUUAUCUUCUUU